CAGUCUCUGAACACACUGACUCUAACCAUGGGAUGGAUCUGGGUCUUUCUCUUCCUCCUGUCAGUGACUGCAGGUGUCCACUCAGAGGCUCAGCUGCAACAAUCUGCAGCUGAGCUGGUAAAGCCUGGGGCUUCAGUGAAGCUGAACUGCAAGGCUUCUGGGUACACAUUCACUGACUACUUUAUGCACUGGGUGAAGCAGAGUCAUGGAACGAGCCUUGAGUGGAUUGGAAGGAUUUAUCCUAACACUGGUGGUACUGACUACAAUGAAAAAUUCAAGGGCAAGGCCACAUUGACUGUAGACAAAUCCUCCAGCACAGCCUACAUGGAGCUUAGCAGAUUGACAUCUGAGGACUCAGCGGUCUAUUUCUGUGCAAGACACAGUGUUACAACCACAUCCUGA